UUCUUCCUAAUAGAAUAAAUAAAAUAGAUAUCCAUAAAGUAUAGAGGAGAUGUGGACAUGGGGUUCACUUGAAUCAACCCUAAUCCUACAAAAUAAGGAGCUCAUCAAAAUAAAUAUCAAUUAAAACAGAUAUGCUCGUAUAUUUAAUAUUGUAUGUUCCAUCAGUAAAGUAGCAUUUAACAUGUUAUUAAUGUUUAAAUGAUGGCUCAUUUCUGGGACACACCAGGUCUAUAUUUCACUAAACACAUUGUUGUUUAGCCCUAGGUUAACUAGACAUAUGAUCAAAAGAGUACUAACCAUGACCAUCCUUUCAUGGGAAGUUGGGUGUGUAUAGUGGAUAGAAAUGGGAA